rnacentral:tRNA from 1 species
GGGCUCAUAGCUCAGCUUGGUAGAGCGGCUGACUCUUAAUCAGUAGGUCGGGGGUCCAAAUCCCCCUGAGCCCG